UACGUAGGGUGCGAGCGUUAAUCGGAAUUACUGGGCGUAAAGCGUGCGCAGGCGGUUAUGUAAGACAGAUGUGAACUGCCCGGGCUUAACCUGGGAACUGCAUUUGUGACUGCAUGGCUAGAGUGUGUCAGAGGGGGGGUAGAAUUCCACGUGUAGCAGUGAAAUGCGUAGAUAUGUGGAGGAAUACCGAUGGCGAAGGCAGCCCCCCUGGGAUAACACUGACGCUCAUGCACGAAAGCGUGGGGGAGCAAACAGG
rnacentral:rRNA from 1 species